rnacentral:lncRNA from 1 species
GAGAAGAUUCUAGAGAAGACAAAAUAACCCAAAGAAAAGAAGUAUGGAAGGCAGGGGUAGCAAGGCGGAGCUGUGCCCUGUCACGGCACACAGAGAAUGCCCAUGGAUUUUCACAAAUGCUGUUAAAAUGUGAAAAGAAGGUGUUUCUUUUUUCUUCAAUCUGAGCUUCAAGCUAAUAUGGGCAUUCAGCUAAAUCCCUCCUGGGUCCUGAAACAGUAUGUGGUUUUGGAUUUCAAAGGUAAUUAUUGCUGAAUUCAUUGUAUGGCCAGUGCACCUGCCAGGUAGACAUUAUAAAAGAGCAUGCAGGGGGCCACCAAGAGAAUUUGGAGGACAAUUUCUCCAUCACAAAACCCCUUUGAAAGCCUAUUAAGGCAUCAAGUGCCAGGAAUGGAGUUGAACAUAUUCAUAAUACAGUUAACAAUGCAAAUGAAGCAACAGUUCCAGGUCGGAGAAAAUGCCGAUGCUUACCUGAGAAAUUCGGGCUCCAUUGUAUUGUGUCUGUCCUGCAAUUGACUCACAAUAAUCCCUACAACUUCUGGGAGAGGUGCAAGUAUCAACCAGUUGGAGACACAGGGAAAGGGUGAUAUAAUGCAGAAAGUGACUUGAACAAAUUUACACAGAAGGCAGUGAAGUGUGAUUCAAAUUCAAGCAGUCUAGACUGUGCCCCACACAACUCUGCAGCAUAACCUUGCAGUAUGAAAAUAAUGCCUCUCAUGCAGUGGCACUUUGGGGAGAGGAGUCACGGAUCUCCUGGCUUGGCCAUGAUUCAGCUUUUGGAGAUUUCAUUUAGAAUCUGUGAUCUUUCCCAUAUUCUUCCUAAAAGGUAUUGCCCUUCCUGGCCCCUGCAAUAUAGCAAGGAUGGAUUUUCAACAAAGCAAAUAAAGGACUGAUUUUCACAAGAUCUGAACCCCGAGGAGCAGAUUGUCAACCUUUCUUCUCUGCUGAGGACAAAGACAAGAUCACAGACCAUUUUCAAAACUUCCAUGUUUCCAGAGGCUCCCUGUAAAGACUACAAUCCUUUCUCUAGGGGUUCACACAGUGUUUUCUACUCAAGAGUCACAGGGGAGUUUAAAAACAUGCAUAUUCCCGAGUUCAACUCUUCGAUUUUAAUUUUGCAGUUGGUGGUAGAGUUCAGCAUUUCUCCUUCCUGCCAUCAUGUGAAGAUGGAUGUGUUUGCUUUCCCUUCAGCCAUAAUUAUAAGUUUCCUGAGGCCUCCCUAGCCCUGCAGAACUAGUUAUCAAAAGCAAGGAAAGUUUGAGAAGCUUUCACAGCCAAGAAGAGCCUGAAGAGACAUGAUAAACAAAUAAAAUGGUGAAUCCUGGAUGCAGCCCUGGAAAAACAACAAAGCGACCUCAGGUUAUGUCUUCUUUUAUAAGACUACCCACUGCCUCUUCUCAAGUAUAUCUGAAGUAUGGCUGGUUGGAGUAUAUCAGGACCCUCAGAGGAGAAAAGCAUAUAAAACCAGCACACCUGAACCCAGGCUUUCCAGCAAGUGCUCUUGGUAAAACGAUCUUGACAAAGUUUUGGAGAGAAGAGUGAUGCUCCAACAUAAAACAGUCUGGAAUUAAGCAGCCGAGCUGUAUUCACAGUUGCUCUUCACAUUUGUCAGAAACGUGGAGCUGAUUAAAUAGAGCUAAUUCUCAAAGGCAAUAACAACUGGCCUGAAAGUGACCCUCUGCAUACAAAUCAGCCAACCCCGAGUCUACAGCCCCAACCGCUUCCUUUUCUAACUCUCCCACACCAAGCCAAUGUUUCCCCUGCCCUACGUCACUCAGGGUCAGGAACCAGACAGCUAGAGACCACUGCUGGAGCCCAGAGCCUGCAACAUUAUUCAAACUGGCUAAUCCUAAAUUGCUUACUCUGCCCUGCCCUUCCUUUCUGGCAGAAACCCCAAUAAAGGCUGUGGCCUAGGCCUUCUCACUCCUG